GAUGAACGCUGGCGGCGUGCCUAAUACAUGCAAGUCGAGCGAACGGACGAGAAGCUUGCUUCUCUGAUGUUAGCGGCGGACGGGUGAGUAACACGUGGAUAACCUACCUAUAAGACUGGGAUAACUUCGGGAAACCGUAGCUAAUACAGGAUAAUAUUUUGAACCGCAUGGUUCAAAAGUGAAAGACGGUCUUGAUGUCACUUAUAGAUGGAUCCGCGCUGCAUUAGCUAGUUGGUAAGGUAACGGCUUACCAAGGCAACGAUGCAUAGCCGACCUGAGAGGGUGAUCGGCCACACUGGAACUGAGACACGGUCCAGACUCCUACGGGAGGCAGCAGUAGGGAAUCUUCCGCAAUGGGCGAAAGCCUGAUGGAGCAACGCCGCGUGAGUGAUGAAGGUCUUCGGAUCGUAAAACUCUGUUAUUAGGGAAGAACAUAUGUUUAAGUAACUGUGCACAUCUUGACGGUACCUAAUCAGAAAGCCACGGCUAACUACGUG
rnacentral:rRNA from 1 species